rnacentral:pre_miRNA from 1 species
AACUCACUCAACCUGGGUGUGAUGUGUAUUUCAAUCCAUCACAACCUCCUUGAGUGAGCGA